rnacentral:snoRNA from 2 species
UUGCUGUGAUGAAACUAACUAGCUCACUUUGAAUAAAGAUGAAAAGUUAAGAACACCUGAGCAUC